UGUCUGGUGAUGAAAAACAUUCUAAUCAUACUAUACUUCGGGACUGAUGUGUCGCUAUGUGGCUAUGACAUUAUUCUGCAAUUGUGAGGGCA